GUGUAUUCCUGAGGCUGCCGUGCAUCCCGUCACCCUAGAGCCAGAACUGGAGAUUGUCUCGGGAGCUGCGAGCCCGGGGAGGAAGAGCCUUUGUGGAGAAUACACAUCAACUCCAUUAACGAUGUUUUCGGAGUCCGUCAAUAACUCACCAAAACGUAACUUAAACACGAUGAAUUUAGGAGAUUAAACAAUUUCAUUAAUAUUGAAAUGGCCGCUGAGGCUGAGCGCGCGCGCUUGAAAUGCAAGCACACGUUUUUCAAUAUUAACAGAAGUACUUGAAAAGAAGAAUAAUGUCACCUUCUUAAUUCAGCAAAAAUAGCCGGGCUGGGGGAGGGAGAGCGGCGGCGGCUCUGCAGCGCGGCUGCUGAGACACGGAGGGACGGUCCCCAUCAAGCAGGGCUCCCCCAAACCUGGCAGGGAGCCUCAAAACGCAUUUUCCCAUCGCGACCAGCGCCGACCUCGUGGGUGUUAAACCGUGCUCCCCUCGUCCCAGCCCGGCUGCCCUCGGUCCCAUCUAAUCCCUCUCUCUCGGGGCAGGAUGUCGUUUAGAGAAUAAUAAAAAGAAAAAACCAAACCAGCUGAUGCAAAAAGGAGCCCGCAAGCUGUAAAGUUAAAGGAAAGUCGGCUUCCGUUGUCAUUUGCUGCUCCGAGUGCAGACGAGAUGCCUCAGUGAAAAACGUUGUAUUUCAUAUUUCUGUCAUGCAUACAAUGGAAAGCACCCUACGUCCAACAUAGGAAGCAUUCUAUUCAACACAGCUUUUUGGAGGUUUCGAUACAAAUUUUUGUACCAAAAAUUGGCCUCACUAUGGAGCAAAUUCAGAGCUCCCUGUCGCUGCUGGGGUUCUAUAUACCACACCAGGCCCCCUGAUCUGCUCGAGGUAUUUAUAGAAGUUAUUUCUAUUAUAACAGAUACAGUUUCACCUUGGAAUUUACAGUGGUCAUAAUUGAAUCUAUUUAAUGUUGACAAGAUUGAUAUUGUUGUUUAGUACCUAUUUUACAAAAGAGUAUGUCUAAGUACUAUUAUUUAAAGAUGUACUGUCUGCAUUGUUUCAUAGUCUCUUGUCUCUUACUGAUGACUUCUAUGCUUUUUCAGGUUCUGAGGGUUCAGAUAUCAGAACACAAACUUUUUUCCACUCUAGACUUGUUGGAAUUAGAGGAAGGUUACCUCUAAACAAGGCUGUCUCAAAAAGUUACAUUAUUUUUGUUUAGUGUAUGACCCUCCCCAUAAUCAGCGGCUUCUACUUUCUCUAAGAGCAUACAAUUAAGGAGAUUUGGCUCAGUUCCAGAGAUUUUCACUUCAACUCAUUAAGUUGAAUGCCCCAGUAAUAUUUACCUCUGUCAAAAUAAUAGGUCCUCUACUAGAUGGUGUUGCAUGUUUCUGGUGGUUUUAUAUAUAAACACAGCUACUUCUGUAUUUACCAGACACCUUGUACAUGUAUAUACAGCAUCUGAUUUCGCAUUUUAAUAUAGUCCAAGAGUAGAAGUCAGGCCAUACCCUUUGUGUCACUCCAACUUCAAAAGGACAUAAAAUAGCCCUCACAUCUCCAUAUCACUACCCAAAGUCUCUUCUUUUUUGUUUGGUUUCUUGCACCAGAGAGAAAGGAGUGUACCUGAGGCAGUCAGUUGUUUCUUGUCUCUGUAUUGUUUGAUGUGUGAUGAGCUAUCAGAUCUCAGUGUGCAACCAAAUAUGGCUUGCUACAGAAAGUGCUUAUCUACACAAGGAGACAAAUAUGCCCUCUACUGACUUCAUCUGUGGCUAGAGUUUAAAAGCUGCUGUCAGAGAGUACACAAUGGAACUGUUUGCAAAUAAAGCAAAUUAAAAUAAACA
ensembl:lncRNA